CAAGGAGUCUGUGCAGAGUCUCCAGUGACAGAGAACUCAAUAGCUGUCAAGAGAACCCAUUGCAGGUUGGACGGCACUUUCUUCCAUUCCGCUGAAAUCAUCUGCCUGCUGUUUCCAGCAAUUCCGGAUUUACCCCCAUCAAAAUUUGUCACAACAAAGCUAAUGUUUAUUCCAUAUGCUCACCCUUCAAAGAAAGAAGAUUCUGCCUUUGUCUAACCUGUUUCCUGCUCAUCAAACUUGAAUUAGAGGCUUCUCGUGGAGCUCUCUCUCUCUCUGGCCACACUGAUGUUCAAUUCCAGAUUGCAGGCAGCCUUGAAUCUAGGCUGGGUAAUAUUAAAAUUUUUUCUUUUAAAAAAAGGUAAACUCAUCCAAGUGCCGUGGCUCACGACUAUAAUCCCAGCACUUUGGAAGGCUGAGGUGGGUGGAUCACUUGAGGCCGGGAGUUCGAGACCAGCCUGGCCAACGUGACAAAACCUUGUCUCUACUAAAAAUAUAACAACAACAACAAUUAGCUGGGCAUGGUGGUGCACACCUGUAAUCUCAGCUGCUUGGGAGGCUGAGGCUGAGACAUGAGAAUUACUUGAACCUGGGAGGCAGAGGUUGCAAUGAGCUGAGAUGGUGCCAUUGCACUCCAGCCUGGGCAACAGAGUGAGACUCUGUCUCAAAAACAAAAAAAAAGUAAACUCACUGCCAGUC
rnacentral:lncRNA from 10 species